GCCUUGCGCUAUCAGAUGAGCCUAGGUGGGAUUAGCUAGUUGGUGGGGUAAUGGCUCACCAAGGCGACGAUCCGUAACUGGUCUGAGAGGAUGAUCAGUCACACUGGAACUGAGACACGGUCCAGACUCCUACGGGAGGCAGCAGUGGGGAAUAUUGGACAAUGGGCGAAAGCCUGAUCCAGCCAUGCCGCGUGUGUGAAGAAGGUCUUCGGAUUGUAAAGCACUUUAAGUUGGGAGGAAGGGCCAUUACSUAAUACGUGAUGGUUUUGACGUUACCGACAGAAUAAGCACCGGCUAACUCUGUGCCAGCAGCCGCGGUAAUACAGAGGGUGCAAGCGUUAAUCGGAAUUACUGGGCGUAAAGCGCGCGUAGGUGGUUUGUUAAGUUGGAUGUGAAAUACCCCGGGCUCAACCUGGGAWCUGCAUUCAAAACUGACUGACUAGAGUAUGGUASAGGGUGGUGGAAUUUCCCUGUGUAGCGCGUGAAAUGCGUAGCAUAU
rnacentral:rRNA from 1 species